rnacentral:rRNA from 1 species
AGAGCGAACGCUGGCGGCAGGCCUAACACAUGCAAGUCGAACGCACCUUCGGGUGAGUGGCGGACGGGUGAGUAACACGUGGGAACGUACCUUUUGGUUCGGAAUAACGCAGGGAAACUUGCGCUAAUACCGAAUGUGCUCCGUAAGGAGGAAAGAUUUAUCGCCAUUAGAGCGGCCCGCGUUAGAUUAGCUAGUUGGUGAGGUAAAGGCUCACCAAGGCUACGAUCUAUAGCUGGUCUGAGAGGAUGAUCAGCCACAUUGGGACUGAGACACGGCCCAAACUCCUACGGGAGGCAGCAGUGGGGAAUCUUGCGCAAUGGGCGAAAGCCUGACGCAGCCAUGCCGCGUGAAUGAUGAAGGUCUUAGGAUUGUAAAAUUUCUUUCAGUAGGGACGAUAAUGACGGUACCUACAGAAGAACGCCCGCUAACUUCGUGCCAGCAGCCGC